rnacentral:rRNA from 1 species
AUUGAACGCUGGCGGCAUGCUUUACACAUGCAAGUCGAACGGCAGCGCGGGCUUCGGCCUGGCGGCGAGUGGCGAACGGGUGAGUAAUGCAUCGGAACGUGCCCAGUAGUGGGGGAUAGCCCGGCGAAAGCCGGAUUAAUACCGCAUACGACCUGAGGGUGAAAGCGGGGGACCGAAAGGCCUCGCGCUAUUGGAGCGGCCGAUGUCGGAUUAGCUAGUUGGUGGGGUAAAGGCUUACCAAGGCGACGAUCCGUAGCUGGUCUGAGAGGACGACCAGCCACACUGGGACUGAGACACGGCCCAGACUCCGACGGGAGGCAGCAGUGGGGAAUUUUGGACAAUGGGGGCAACCCUGAUCCAGCCAUGCCGCGUGCGGGAAGAAGGCCUUCGGGUUGUAAACCGCUUUUGUUCGGGAAGAAAUCCUCUGGGCUAAUACCCCGGGAGGAUGACGGUACCGGAAGAAUAAGCACCGGCUAACUACGUG